AAUAACUAUAUUAAUUAUAAGUUUCUUUUUCACGAAAAAGACAGAGCUAGAAAGUUUAAUAUUUUAGAAUGUAAAUUAUAUGUUGCAUAAUAUAAAUUAUAGAUCUUUAGGGGUGAUAGGCCUGUCAAGUUCUUUAAUAUCUUGAUUUAUAAUAAAUAUAUUAAGUAUUAGGACAAUCUAAGAAUUAUAAGGUUUUUAGAAUAUACUAUAUAUAUUAAGCAUAUAACAAAUGACUUAAUAGUUCUUGUUAAUAUUUUAAUACAACUCUUUAGUUGGUGUAUGUACACUCAAUUAUAAUAUAAUAAAAUAAUUUAUGGUAGUAUAAAUAAUGUUAUUAUUAGUAUAUAAUUAACUUUAGUUAAGGAACUCGGCAAGCAUCUUACUCAACUGUUUAUCAAAAACAUGCCCUUAGCUAUUUUUAAGGGUAAACUCUGCUCAAUGGGAAACUAAAUAGCCGCAGUACUCUGACUGUGCAAAGGUAGCAUAAUCAUUUGUUUCAUAAUUGGAAUCUAGUAUGAAUGGGAAUAUGGGUAAGUUCUGUCUCGCUAUAAUAAACAGAAACUAUUUAAUAAGUGAAAAUACUUAUAUAUAUAAAAAAGACGAGAAGACCCUAGAAAUUUUAUAUAUAUGUAAUUAUAAUACAAUCUAUUUUGUUGGGGCGACAAGGUAACAAUAAACUUACCUAGUUUAAUUAAAACUAAUUGAAAAUAAUAAUUAAAUUACUCUAGGGAUAACAGCAUAAUGUAUAUUAAGUUUGUGACCUCGAUGUUGGACUAGGAUAGCUAUUACUUAAAAGGCGAUAGUGAAGGCUCUGUUCGAGCUUUUAACUCCUACAUGAUCUGAGUUCAGACCGG
rnacentral:rRNA from 1 species